UUUCUAGAGAUCCAUCCUUGGUGGGAGCCUUUCCCUGUGAACCCAAAAUCUUCUGAUCCGAAACCAUCUGCACCUCCUAACUGAUCUUCAGAGUACCUGAGUGGAACAAGGAUGUAAAUUAUCAGCCACUGCUUAACGCACACAAAAAUUAUAUGGACUGAUGAGCCUCUCUUUGCUUCUAUGCAGCACAGAGGACGUGAUGCUAUGUUUUGGAUGAUUAAUGGAUCUCAGAAUUUACUGAAGAACAACAAUAUUUCUAUCAAACAUAAUACUGAGAUGGAGAGUAACUAUAUUCAGUUUGCCACCAUGUUUUAAAUUCACUUGCUUCUGGGAAGUUCUUAAUUUCCAUGUCUCAGAGAAUCUGCUUUCUUGCAGUAGUUUCUAUUUAUUUCUAUUUGGGUCUUUUACAUGAUGAGAUAUAGCGUAUCUGUUGGCCAUAGUUAAAUUCUAGAAGGAUUUAGAAGAUGAUUGUCAUGCAUGCGUAGUCAUAAAAAGCAUGGGAAGAACAUUAGAUUUCUUAUCCUGUCACCUUCCUCUAAUUUAGAUAUUUCUUUAUUAUUUACUGUCUACUUGCUUAUAUUAUUAAGUACUGUGAACUCAGUUUAUCCAUUCUUUAGGGACUGUCAGAAGCUUUUGUUUGUACUGCAGUAAAAAUGUAGACAUCUUCCAUUAUGUUUUCCUUGCAUUAGACUAAGAACAAAUCAACCUCUUGGCUCUUAAAUGACGGGGAGAGUGUACACUCCAGGCUUUUCUGGAGUCAAUAUUAUACCUGUUGUUUAAGAGACAUUAAAUCAUAAUGCGAAUUUCCUUUCACUCUUCUUUGUGAAUAUGAUUUCUUAGAAAAGAAGGUGAAUUACACUAUACAAAGUGAAUGUACAUGAAUAUUCUGUUGGCAUAUAAUCAGAAAUUUACACAUUUUUCCUUAUUUUUUCUUUUUUUAUUUUGAAGAUUUGAUGACUGAGCAUAUUUCAUUUUGAAAGAACGAAGUUAAAUGAACUUACUAGAGAAAUUCUCAGAACAAUGUAACAUUUCUUCUACUAAAUCACAGAGCAGGCUAAUGACAAUGCCUAUGCUGGACAAGAUUUUUGUUGCUAUACUCUAUUGGUGUCUCACUGGGUAUGUGUUACACAGUAUGUGUUAAAACCAUCAUGUGUCAUUCUGUCAUAUACAUUUUAUGUACUAAGUAUGUUUAUAACCAGUUUAUUUGUUUAGUAGAAAGGAAUGAAAAAGAGUACUUCUGUAUGGAGGCAAAAAGCACUAUGUGAGUAUUGCGGAAUGUUUCCUACUCACAGAAAAGAAUAUCUGUACAAAUUGGAUCUCACAUGAUUUCGUAUCUGGACUUUGUAUUAAAAGCAUCCAGAUGGUGUAGUAUGAGAUUGUUUCAAGAAAAAAAAAAAAAACACAACAGGGAUCCUUGCGGGCAGUGACAAUUUCCAGCUAUUGCAAGUUAUUUCCUUAUUCAGAGAUAAUUUUCUGAUGAAACCAGAGAAAAUGAAAGUCUUUAAGGAUUUAUGACAUGGUGAUCUUAACCUUUUUCCAUCCAGCUGAGAAAGAUCCCUUUGAGUUAUGAAGUAGUUGUUACUACUUGUUACCCUUUUCUUUACUUUCCCCUUUCAUGAUAGGGGUUUCUAAACAUGUGCUCACAGAGAGAUAUUCCUUCAGUCAGGAUAAGGAAAAUAAUGGACAGAAUUAUGCUUCUGGACAUAUAGCCUUCCAUUUAUUACAUAACUUCAUUUUAACAUCACUGGAAUCAUUAUUAUUGCCUCAUAAAACAUGGUGAUGGUACCAUUACUGCUUCUGAUCUACAGAUGUUAUAGACAUUGAUAGCACAGAGAAUAAUGAAGAUAUAGAUUUCAAGGCACUAAAAUCAAUUUAAAUGCUUUUAAGUUAGCUGAAAAGCUGUCAUGUAAAUUAUUACACAAGAUAUAGACCAGUUUUAAAGCUGGCUGUGGAACACUGGAAGGUUAUCUAUUUACAACCCUUAAGUUUUGAAUUCUUCCUUGGUAACUGAAUUACAUUGCAUGUUGUAACAAGCAGAAGAUUAAAUUUCAGGACUCACUUCAGUUUUUAGAUAACUUCUGAAUUUUAGGAAUAGAUUUUUGUAAAGCUGUACAAAUGUCUUAAAGUAGAUAAACAGUCUUACAUAGGUUUUUUAAAUUUCUUAUGAAAAGAGGAUUAAAUACUAUGUUUUUAGUGACUAGCAUAUUAACUUUUAUUCACUACAAAUAUGAAGGAUUUGUUUCCUCACAAUUAACUCGCAUCAUGUAAUUUUUCUGCUGGUGACACAGUUAAGGAACUGGAACAUCUUUCCUAUGGGGAAGAGCAAAGAGGAUGGAGCCAGGCUGUUCUCAACGGUGCCCAAUGUCAGGACAAGAGAAAAUGGACCUGAACUAGAACAUAGGAGGUUCCAUCUGAACAUCAGCAAAUGCUUCUUUACUGUGCAGGAGGUUUAACAACUAAACAGACUGCCCUGAGAGGCUGUAGAGUCUCUUCCUUGAAAAUCUUCAGAAGCUUCCAGGACAUGUUCCUAGGCCACGUAAUUUAGGUGGCUCUGCUUUAGUAGAGGUUGGACCAGAUCUCCUCUAGAAGUCCCUUCCAACUUCAGCUGUUUUGGGAACCUGUGACUAGGUAUAAACCUCCUGGUGUUUUCUAUACCCUGAGUUUCUCUACAGAUACUAUAAUAUAAUACAAAAGAGAAUCUAAAGGUAGUAAAAAUACUACAGUUGAGCUUACACUUAUUAUGAUUUGACUUAGUUGUGGAUAGUUUGCUUAGUAACUAAGAUCACAUAUGAAAUAAAUCCUAUUCAGGCUUA